AUUGAACGCUGGCGGCAGGCCUAACACAUGCAAGUCGAGCGAGAAAGCACUUCGGUGUGAGUACAGCGGCGGACGGGUGAGUAACGCGUAGGAAUCUACCCGGUAGUGGGGGACAACUUGGGGAAACCCAAGCUAAUACCGCAUACGCCCUAAGGGGGAAAGCGGGGGAUCUUCGGACCUCGCGCUAUCGGAUGAGCCUGCGUAGGAUUAGCUAGUUGGUGGGGUAAAGGCUCACCAAGGCGACGAUCCUUAGCUGGUCUGAGAGGAUGAUCAGCCACACUGGGACUGAGACACGGCCCAGACUCCUACGGGAGGCAGCAGUGGGGAAUAUUGCGCAAUGGGCGAAAGCCUGACGCAGCCAUGCCGCGUGUGUGAAGAAGGCCCUAGGGUUGUAAAGCACUUUCAAUUGGGAAGAAAAGCUGUUGCUUAAUAAGUAACAGCCCUGACAUUACCUUUAGAAGAAGCACCGGCUAACUCCG
rnacentral:rRNA from 1 species